ensembl:lncRNA
UCCUUGCUGUCCAAGGGACUCUCAAGAGUCUUCUCCAACACCACAGCUCAUCACUGCUGAUUCUGAAAAUCUCUGUGACUUUGUUUUCUCAUCUGUCAAACAGGCAUGAGGUCAUCCCUCUGGGGUUGUUGUCAGGAAACAAUAGGCUGCCUGGGAAGGGCACCUGGAGCAGGCGCUCUGCAGGGCUGGCCAGUGUAUACAGAAAGCCUUGAUGGAUCGUGCUGGAAUCCGUUGCUGUCAAGGGCUGGUGGUGGGGCUUGGCCCGGGCUAAAUACUUCAGAGGUAGUUUCUCAUUAAAAUGAAUGUUCACAGUCUCACCACCAGAAAGAAACUCAGAAAGGUUAAGUUCUUUGCCCAAAGCCAUACAGCUAGGAAAUGGCAAACCAGGUCCCCUUAGAUCUGAAACCAGGCUGUGUCCCCUCGUGUCAUUGCUCAAGUCUCCUCCGGCAAUGCUCCAGGCUGUUGCCAGCCCCACGUGCCCUUCCGGGGGUGGCACGCUCCUUGGAGCUGGCCAUCCUCGGAGCCCCAUCGGGGUAGCUCGUCUCUCCCCUCUGCUCUUGCCUUCCUCUUCCACAAGCCAUGUUCUGAGCUGCCACUGCGGGCCCCAAGAUGUCCUACGGCUCCCCGCGGCCUCCCCUAUCAAAUCGAAGCGCCUCAGCCUGUUCUCCAAGGCCCUUUCAAUGCCCCGACCUCAUUUGUCAGUGUUCUCAAGCACGCGUUCUGCUCCAGCCAAGCUCAUCUGCUUGCUGUCCCCUCGUCCCUGCUGUCGCACGGGCCAUCUCUCCUGCUCCUGGUGCUUUCCCCCGCAUCUCUGCUGUUCUGCUCAGUUUUGUAAAACCCCAGAUCAAAACUGGGCCUUCUCUACAGGGACCCACACCAGGGCAGCGGUUCUUGAGUCCUCCUGGGUCCCAGAGCCCUCUGGAGACGUACUGUAAGUUAUAGACCCUCCUGGAAAAGUCCAACUGCACGUAAUACUUCACAUGCAAAUUCUGGAAGCCCCAGACUCUUGAGUUCUGGUUAAGAACCCCUGAGCUAGGGGAAGUGCUUGCUAAGCUUUUGAAUGGGUGUGCCAAAUCGGCUUCUAGGGUAAGAAAUAGGCCAGCCCAGGGGGCAUGUUUUAAAGGUUUUUGCAUUUACUCCAUGCAGGAAAAAAGGUUUUCUGCCCAGAUAAGUUUCGAAAACAGUGCUUGGUGACCUCUGAGCUCAAUUUCUUCACUUGGAAACUGGGGCCAAUAAAACCUGCUUUUAUAUAAGUAGUCAUGGUGAUUGGAUGAGUUGCUUUGCAGUGUGUCAAGGACCACCCUCUCUUUAGGCCCUGAAUCUUGUGUACUUGUCAAGAGACCAUCAGGAAGGGGAGAAGCAGAGACCCUCUCCUGCCCACCCCCAGUGGGUGGGAGAACCUGAUGAGCCUGACCACGGCUCCCGGCUGCUCCCCUAAGUCAGCAGAAGGACGUGUGGGAGAGAGCGAGUCCAGCGCUGGUUAGGAAAGCAGCUGCGGCAGCCCCGAGUCUGGACCUGACUCUUAGGUCUCUCAGGGGCUAGGGAGGUGGUGUUGGCCCCAGAGAGGCAGAACAGGUUUGCGUUCCACAGCCCCGAGCCUCUAAAUGGAGCUAACUCAGCACAGCCAGGGGCCUCACUGGCCCAUUAGAGCUGCUCUGGCCAAUUGCAAAUCAAUGCUCUGAAAAGAGACAGUGGUCCAGGUGCAGAAGCGGGAGACAGCAGCCCCAGGCAAGCUGCGGGCGGAGGCGGGAGGGGAGGCUGCGGGGAGAGCGGCCAGGGGAGCCUGGGGGCAGGGUCCAGGGUGGGGUGCUGGGCAAAGCACCCACCUGACCUCUGCUGGGGGCCAGAUGCUGGGCUGGCCUGAGGGUGAGACGCCACUGGAGGAUGAGCAGCCGCUUCUUGGAGCACCUGCUGUGUGCCAACCUCUGCGCCAGGAGCCCCACAUUCUCUGUCAUUUAGUUCUCAUCCAUACAUGGAGACAAGGCCAUGUGUCCACCAUAGCCUAAGUCCUGGUUCAGUUUCCCUUUCCUGGGCACCCAGGAAAACUACAUUUCCCAGCCCCCUCUGUAGUGGCAGGGGCAUUGGAUGGAGUUAUGGCCUAGAAAGAGCAAGCGGGCGUGACCUGAGUGGCUUCCGGGUUGAAGCAGUGAAGAAGCCGUGGGCGGCCUCCUCCCUUCCCUCUCCCUCCUCCCUUUUCUCUCCCUCCUCCUUCACUUCCCCUCCUCCCUUC